rnacentral:lncRNA from 1 species
CCUUGUAUCUAUCCGGCAGAACACGCAUUGGGUGAACAUUUCAGAAGAGGUGUCACUCUUGAAGAUGGAGAAAGGCCUGUCACAUCUUUCGCACUGACAUGGGAUAUUUUAAAAGAGCAGAAAGGAGGUGCUGGUCAGAGGUGAUCCAGGCAUGCCAUUAGAAUUCUCCCAGCUACCUUGAGCUGGGGCAAGGCAAGGGUUCCCCUCUCUGGAAUCUCUUUUUGGUUUGUUUGUUUGUUUUUGUUUUUGUUUUUGAGACAGAGUCUCACUUUGUUGCCCAGGCUGGAGUGCAGUGGCACCAUCUAGGCUUACUGCAACCUCCGCCUCCCAGGUUCAAGCAAUUCUCCUGCCUCAGCCACCCGAGUAGCUGGGAUUACAGGCGUGCACCACCACAUCCUGCUAAUUUUUGUAUUUUUAGUAGAGAUGGGGUUUCUCCAUGUUGGCCAGGCUGGUCUUGAACUCCUGGCCUCAAGUGAUCCACCCACCUUGGCAGCCCAGAGUGCUGGGAUUACAGGCGUGAGCCACUGGGCGCAGCCCCUCUCUGGAAUCUCUAACCCCACAAAGGCGGAAAUUGCAGAGAGAAUGAGCACAGGCUGCUUCCCCACCAAUGGCUAAGCAGGUCCUGCCAGCUCAUGUCUCCUGCCAGCUCAUGUCUCCUGCCAGCUCAUGUCUCCUGCCAUGGGGGUCCUGAGGACAUGCGUGGCAAGCCCCUUGACAGUUGGGAGGAUGGGGGUGAGUGUCCCGCCCCAUCCAUUGUUCUGUGCCGAGUAAAAUUGUGGGACUAAGAGGAUGACUCCCUGACAUCCUGAGAACACCCAACUUUUACAGAACCAUGAGACGCAAGUAGGCAAGAUUUCUGAACAAAGCAGGGGUGUGAAGCAGAUUGAUGCAGGUGCUAGGUGCCCUCCUGCGUCCCUGAGCCUGUUUCUGGCCAAAGCUCACAGAGUACACUGAAAACAAAUGGCACAGCUCACCCAUCACGUCUGCUUCCCACUAACAAGCAAGAGUGCCAUGGGAUGAGGUCUCCUAGGCCAUGGGCAGAGGCCCCUCAGGGGUUCCCACCAUGCAUGGUCCCCUGGAGAAGAGCCUGCAAGGUGGCCGCGCCCCUGCCCUGGCUCUCCCAGCCCCUGGGCUUUGCUGUUCUGCCCACUCCAGGACACUGAGGCCUGCUGGAGAGGGGGGUAAACCCUACCUGGGGCAGGCCUCGGGGAAGCCUGGCCUCAGGCUUCUCAUGUUGAUUGAUUCAGAGCAAGUCAAAUGCAGCAGGCUCAUCCUUGCUUCAGCUUCAGAAUUUAAGCUCCCCUGGGGCAAAAAUGUCAGUCUGUUUGUUCACGAUUGCAUCUCCAGGUGCCCAAAGUUCAUUCAAAUGAUAAAUUAAUUUAUAGAGGGAACUAACGAAAGCCUUCACUGGGCUUAAUUUUACCCAAUACCAACCUGUUUCAACUUUAAGCCCACGGCCUUUUUGUACUUGAUUACCAAAGGAAUUUCAUCAAUUUCUUCAAUAUUCCACAGUCUCAUGGUCCUAUCCUAAAACAAAUAGCAAACCAGCGGUCACAAAACAGGCUGUGGUACAUCCAUACAAAGGAAUGUCAUUCAACAAUCAAAAGACAUGGGCUGUCAAGGCACAAAAAGACAGAGGAACCUUCAAUGCACAUUGUUAUGCCAUAGAAGCCAACCUGAAGAGGCUACAGAGUAUAAUUCCAACCAUAUGACAUUCUGGAAAAGGCAAAACUGAAGAAUAUAAAUAGAUGAGUCAUUGCCCAGGAUUAUAGGGAAGAGGAGGAGGGAUGAAUAGUAAAACUAUUCUGUAUGGCCAGGCGCGGUGGCUCAUGCCUGUAAUCCGACCACUUUGAGAGGCCAAGGUGGGUGAGGUCAGGAGUUCAAGACCAGCCUGACCAAUAUGGUGAAACCCCGUCUCUACUAAAAAUACAAAAAUAGCUGGGCACAGUGGCGUGCACCUGUAGUCCCAGCUACUUGGGAGGCUGAGGCAGGAGAAUCACUUGAACCCAGGAGGCGGAGGUUGCAGUGAGCCAAGAUCGCACCACUGCACUCAAGCCUGUGCGACAGAGUGAGACUCUGUCUCAAAACAAACAAACAAACAAAACUAUAUGACACUGUAUUGGUGGAUAUAUGAUAUGCAUUUGGCAAAAAUAUACAGUAACACAAAGCAUGAAACUAUAAAACCAUGGACCUUAGUUAAUAAUAGUUCCUGAAAGGAAUGCAGUCCUGUUGAUACCUAGAUUUUAGCCCAGUGAGAGCUUAUCAGACUUCUAUCUUACAGUACUGUAAGAUAUUAAAUUUAUGUUGUUUAAUGUUUAAACAGUACAGUCUGGUAACUUAUUAUAGCAGCAAUAAAAAAAUGGAUACAUUGAGUAUGUUACAUUUCUUGAUUCAGCAGUUGCAACUAAAUAUCCUGUGGGAGAACAAAGGGGUCAUUUUUGUAACAGAUGUGUUGACUUCAUGCUGCCUAAAGCUGUCAGAUCUUACCAAUAAGCAUACUUCCUACAGUAUAGCAAGUGGUUUGUCAAAUCAUGACAACAAAAAACAUCCUCCCAGCUCUUAGAUACUUUAAUUCAAAAGUUAGUUUCAAGCUGGGCAUGGUGGCUCACACCAGUAAUCCCAGCACUUUGAGAGGCCAAGGCAGGCGGAUCACCUGAGGUCAGGAGUUUGAGACCAGCCUGGCCAACAUGGCGAAACUCUGUCUCUACUAAAAAUACAAAAAUUAGCCAGGCCUGGUGCUGCAUGCCUGUAAUCCCAGCUACUCAGGAGGCUGAGGCAGGAGAAUCACUUAAACUUGGGAGGCAGAGUUUGCAAUAAGCCGAGAUCGCACCAUUGCACUCCAGCCUGGGUGACAGAGCGAGACUCUGUCUCAAAAAAAUAAUAAUAAUAAUAUUUUUUAUUUAGCUGGGUGUGGUGAUACACACCUAUAGUGUGUUUGGGGCCACUUUUCACCUUCCUCGAAAUGUACAGAAGCACUUAAUGAGAUUUUUUCUUUCUUUUUUUCUCUUUUUUUAAGACAGGGUCUUACUCUGUCACCCAGGCCCGAGUGCAGUGGCAUGCCCUCAGCUCACUACAACCUCCGCUUCGCAGGCUCCAGUGAUUCUCCUGCCUUGGCCCCCCGAAUAGCUGGGACUACAGGCAUGCGCCACCAUACCCCACUAAUAUUUUGUAUUUUUAGUAGAGAUGGGGUUUGGGCACGUUGCCCAGGCUGGUCUCAAACUCCUGAGCUCAGGCAAUGUGCCCAUCUCAGCCUCCCAAAUUGCUGGCAUUACAGGCAUGAGCCACCGUGCCCAGCCAAGAUUUUCAAUUAGAGAAAUGGAAAGAGAUAUCUUCCUUAAACAUGUGCCUACAAGAUGGCUAUUAUCAUUUCUGACCAUAGAAAAGAUGUCAAAAUGGGCCGGGCACAGUGGCUCAUGCCUGUAAUCCUAGCACAUUGGGAGGCCAACGCGGUCGAAUCACUUAAGGCCAGGAGUUUGAGACCAGCCUGGGCAACAUGGGAAAACCCCGCCUCCGCUAAAAAUACAAAAAAUUAGCCAGGCAUGAUCGCGGGCACCUUGUAAUCCCAGCUACUCGGGAGGCUAAGGCGGGAGGAUCGCCUAAGCCCGGGAGGUUCAGGCUGCAGUGAGCUGAGAUCAUGCCACUGCACUCCAGCCUGGGCGAUACAGCAAGACCCUGUCUCUUUAAAACAUAAAUAAAUGGGCUGGGCGCAGUGGCUCACGCCUGUAAUCCCAGCACUUUGGGAGGCCAAGGUGGGUGGAUCACCUGAGGUCGAGAGUUCAAGACCAGCCUGACCAACAUGGAGAAACCCCGUCUGUACUAAAAAUACAAAAUUAGCCAGGCGUGGUGGUGCAUGCCUGUAAUCCCAGCUACUCGGGAGGCUGAGGCAGGAAAAUCACUUGAACCCGGGAGGCGGAGGUUGCGGUGAGCCAAGAUUGUGCAAUUGCACUCCAGCCUGGGCAACAAGAGAGAAACUCCAUCUCAAAAAUAAAAUAAAAUAAAAUAAAUAAAUAAUGCACAUUUUAGAUAGAUAUAGCCUAUACCGUGAAUUUAUAGUGCAAAGGACUUCAUUGACAAAUACCUGGUCUUUCAAAGCAAGCUUAUAGAUUUAGUACAUUGAACACUUUUGGAGUGCUGGGAAAUAAAGCCUACAAAUCAAAAAACCUGUUGUUGCCAGUAAGUAAAAUCUUUUUUUUUUUUUUUUUUUUUUUGAGACUGGGUCUCACUCUGUCACCAUCAGUCAGGCACAAGGGUUCCAGUUGCUCCACAUCCUUUGCCAACAUUCAUUAUUUUCUGAGUUCUUUUAUUAUAGACCCCCUAAUAGAUGUGAAGUGAUACCUCACUGUGCUUUUGAUUUGCAUUUCCCUAAUGACUAAUGAUGUUGAGCAUCUUGCCAUAUGCUUCUUGGCCAUUUGUAUAUCUUCUUUGGAGAAAUGCCUAUUCGAGUCUUUUGCCCAUCCUUGAAAUGGGUUGUUUGUUUUUUGUUGUUGAGUUUUCGAAGUUCUUUAUGUAUUCUGCAUAUUAAUCCCUUAUCAGAUACAUGAUGUGCAACUAUUUUCUCCCAUUCUCUAAGUUGUCUUUUUGCUUUCUUGACAGUAUCCUUUGAUGCACAAAAGUUCUUAAUUUCAACGAAGUUUAGUUUGUCUGUUUUUGCUCUCAUUGCCUAUACUUUUGUUGUCAUAUCCAUGAAAUCACUGCCAAAGUCAGUAUCAUGAAGAUUUUCUCCACUGUUUUCUUCUAAGGGUUUUAUAGUUUAGCUCUCAAGUUAAGGUGUUUGAUCCUGAGUUAAUUUUUCUAUACAGUAUUAGGUAAGGGUGCAAUUUCAUUCUUUUGCAUGUAAAUUUCCAAUUUUCCUAGCACCAUUUGUUGAAAAGACUGCCCUUUCUCCAUUGAAUGGUCUCGGCACCCUCGUCAAAAAUCCCUUAUUUCUGGGCUUUCUAUUCUAAGCCAUUUGUCUAUAUGUCUGUCCCUAUGCCAGAACUACACUGUUUUAAUUACUGUAGACUUGUAGUAACUUCAAAGUCAGAAAGUGUGAGUCCUCCAAUUUUCUUCUUCUCCUUCUCCCUCUUAUUCUUCUCCUUCCCCUUCUCCUUCUUCAAGAUUCUUUUGGCUAUUCGGGGCCCCUUGCAAUUUCAUAUGAAAAUGCUGUUGGAAUUUUGAUAAGGAUUAUGCAGAAUCUGUAGAUUACUUUGAGUAGUACUGACAUCUUAAUGAUGAGUCUUCCUAUCCAUGAAUAUAGGAUGUCUUUCCAUUCAUUCAAGUCUUCUUUAAUUUCUUUCAGCAAUACUUUAUAGUAUUAAUUGUGCCAGUCUUUCACCACCUUUGUUAGAUUUAUUCCUAAGUAUUGUUUUAUAUGCCAUUGUAAAUGGAAUUGCUCUUCCUUUUCAGAGUGUUCAUUGCUGGUGUAUAGAAACACAACUGCUUUUUUGUGUGUUGAUUUUGUACCCUGAAACUUUGUUGAAUUCAUUUAUUAGCUUUAGUAGCUUUCUUGUUAAUUCUUUGGGAUUUUCUAUAUUUACGAUCAUGCCACCUAUGAAUAGAAAUAAUUUUGGGGCCGGGCACGGUGGCUCAUGCCUGUAAUCCCAGCACUUUGGGAGGCCGAGGCGGGUGGAUCACGGGGUCAGGAGUUCAAGACCACCCUUGCCAACAUGGUGAAACCCCAUCUCUAGUAAAAAUGCAAAAAUUAGCCGAGCAUGGUGGCACAUGCCUGUAAUCCCAGCUACUCGGGAGGCUGAAGCAGGAGAAUUGCUUGAACCCAGAAGAUGGAGGUUGCAGUGAGCCAAGAUCAUGCCACUGCACGCCAGCCUGGGUGACAGAGCAAGACUCCAUCUCAAAAAAAAAAAAAGAAAGAAAUCAUUUUGGCUGGGCAUGGUGGCUCACACCUGUAAUCCCAGCACUUUGAGAGGCCAAGGUGGGCAGAUCACUUGAAGUCAGGAGUUCAAGGCCAGCCUGGACAACAUGGUGAAAUCCCGUUUCUACCGGGAGAAUUGCUUGAACCCAGGAGAUGGAGGUUGCAGUGAGUCGAGAUUGUGCCACUGCACUCUAGCCUGGGUGACAGAAUGAGACCCUAGAAAGAAAGAAAGAGAGAAAGAGAGAGGAGAGAGGAGAGGAGAGAGGAGGAGAGGAGAGAAGAGAAAAGAGGAGGGAAGGCAGGAAGGAAGGAUUGAAGGAAGGAAGAAAGAAAGGACAGAAGGAAGGAAGGAAGAGAAGGAAGGAAGGAAGGUUGGGAGGGAGGGAAGGAAAGGAAGAGAAUUUUACCUCUUCCUUUUCAAUUUGGAUGCCUUUUAUUUCUUUUUCUUGUCUGAUAGCUCCGGCUAGCACUUCCAGUACAAUAUUGAAUAGUAGCAAUGAAAGUAGGCAUCCUUGUCCUGAUCCUGAUCUUAGGGAAGAAAAAUUUUAGUCUUUUACCACUGAGAAUCAUGUUAGCUGCAGAUUUUUUCUAAACACUCUUUAUCAUGUUGCGGAAUUAUCCCUUUAUUCCUAGCUUUCUGGGUUUUUUUAUUAUUAUAAUGAAAGGGUUUUGAAUUUUUUCAAAUGCCUUUUCUGUGUCAGUUGAAAUGAUUGUAUAGGGUUUUUUUUCCCUUUGUUCUAUUAAUGUAAUAUAUUACAUUGAUUUUAUGUUGAGCCACCCUGUAUCCCUGGGAUAAAUCCCACUUGGUCAUGGUAAAUAAUCCUUUUAAUGUACUGUUGGAUUUUAUUUGCCAAUAUUAUGUUGAGCAUAUUUGCAUCUAUAUUAAUAUGAGAUAUUGGUCUGUAAUUUUCUUUUAUUGUCAUGUUUGUUCUUGGCUUUGGUAUCCAACUUGUGCUGGCCUCAUAGAAUGAAGUCACUGCUUUACAUUAAAUAUAAGUAAUAUGUAUUUAAUCAAUCCUAUUUUAUUUGUGUUCUCUUUUUUAAACAGUCUUACCUCUAUAUAUCUUAAGAAUAUAUAAUAUAACCUACAAAAUUUAUUAUUUAUUUAUUGGAGACAGGGUCUAGCUCUGUCACCCAGGAUAGAAUGUAGUGGCAUGAUUGUGGCUCACUGCAGCCUCUGCCUCCCAUGCUCAAACCAUCCUCCCAUCUCAGCCUCCUGAGUGAGUAGCUGGAACUACAGGUGUGCGCC